rnacentral:lncRNA from 1 species
AUGUCCCGCGUCUCCUCCCAGCUCGCAAAGGCGGACGACUGGCUGGGGGCUCAUUCAGCUGCCAUCCGUCUGGUUACGGACACCGCAGCCCAAGAGCCAAAGUGCCGAGCGGAGCAGGGCUCCAGGCUGCGGUCCUGGGUCUCAGCAGUUUCUAUGCCCUUCCCUUUCCCCGUCCCGCUUCCCAUCUGCAAAGAGGCACCAGCCACAGAAGCACGGCCAGACCUAAACACACGCGAAGCACGGAGACAGCAGAGGCAGAGGGGGGGCAGCCGGCAGCGCGCGGCAAUGGGAGCGGGGAAGCCCACCGUGCCGAAGCACCCCGCGGUCUGCGCCCGCGCGCAGCGACGCCACGGGCAUUYCCCUUGCCGGGAAGUUAACUCAGGCCCCGACGCUCGCUGCGGCCGCAGCCAGAGCACGGCUCUCCCUGUGCUGGCAGGGACCGCGGCGCAGCUGCCUCGCGCCCUCCCCGCAGCCCCGGCACCUGCCUCCUCCAAACGCCCUCCCGGGACGAGGGCUGCAGCGCUGGGGCCCCGCAGCCACCGCAUGCGCGGCCAGCGCCUCUGCAGCCYGCAAAACCGCCCGCGGCCUCGGCGCUGGCCCUGGCACCGCUCGACAGUGGCAGCAGAUGCCGGCGCUGAUGGAGGGCAAGCGCCAAGCUGGGCUCCCGGGAAUGGCACGAGCCCCGGAGCCAGCAGCUCCCAGGGGUCCCCCGCACCACAGGGGGAACGGAGCAGCUCCGCCGGGGCGAUGCCGUCACUAGCCCAGACGGGAGCAGUGCCCCAGCCUGGAUCCAGGGUCAGAGCCGCGAUCYGGAUGAAGCCAUCACGCCGCAGACCAUGCAAGGGGCAACAGCACGCGCAGAGCCACGGCCACCCACGGAGCCUGGCGCUGCCACGCUUGCAAGACAGYGAGGCAGCGCAACGGCUCAAGCCGGGAAGCAGAAGCAUCUCUCUCCCAUGCCGAUGGGGACCUAACUACCUCCCAGGUUCCUCCUGCUCUCCCGUUUAG